GAGGGCAUAGCUCAGUGGAAGAGUGUCUGCUCAGCAAGCAUGAGGCCCUGGGUUCAAUCCCCAGUGUCUCCA
rnacentral:tRNA from 1 species